AUGGUGGAUUUUCUUCUGGAGUCCCAAAGAUGGAAGAUGCCAUCUUAUUCCUUUUUCCUCCUUGCUGGUCUUUUGGCAAAUCAAAUCCUACGCUGAAAUUAGAACCACCACCUGGGGGCCGAAGAACCCUAGAAAAAGAUUAAAGCAUUUUACCCCAUGUGGUGGUUAAG